GCUCGGGUGUUGUAAUUGGUAGCCAAAACCGACUUAAAAUCGGUUGUCCGAAAGGGCGUGUGGGUUCGAGUCCCACCCCGAGCACCA
rnacentral:tRNA from 2 species